rnacentral:tRNA from 1 species
AGCAAUAUAGUUUAUUAAAAAUCUCUAUUUGCAUUUGAGGGAAAAGGUAAAUUUAUUAUACCUUUAUUGCUA